AACUUUUAGCAACGGAUCUCUUGGUUCUCGCAUCGAUGAAGAACGCAGCGAAAUGCGAUACGUAAUGUGAAUUGCAGAUUGUGAAUCAUCGAAUCUUUGAACGCAUAUUGCACUCUUUGGUAUUCCGAAGAGUAUGCUUGUUUCAGUAUCAUGAAAAUCUCACAUUUAAAACAUUUUUUGUUUCAAAUUGUGGACUUGGAUUUGCGAUUUCUCGUAAAAUUGCUAAUCUGAAAUGAAUUUCAUGAAGCUUAUUAUGCUUUGAACCUUUGCUUAAUAGUUUUGCUUUGUCAAAUCUUUUGCAAUUGUCUCAAUAGCCCAGAAAGUGAAUUGAUUUUACGAAAUUAAUUAAUCUCAUUUUUUGAUCUGAAAUCAAGUAGGAUUACCCGCUGAACUUAAGCAUAUCAAUAAGCGGAGGCU
rnacentral:misc_RNA from 1 species